GAUGAAGAACGUAGCGAAAUGCGAUAAGUAAUGUGAAUUGCAGAAUUCAGUGAAUCAUCGAAUCUUUGAACGCACAUUGCGCCCGCCAGUAUUCUGGCGGGCAUGCCUGUUCGAGCGUCAUUUCAACCAUCAAGCCCCCGGGCUUGUGUUGGGGACCUGCGGCUGCCGCAGGCCCUGAAAACCAGUGGCGGGCUCGCUAGUCACUCCGAGCGUAGUAGUUACAUCUCGCUCAGGGCGUGCUGCGGGUUCCGGCCGUUAAAAGCCUUUUACCCCAAGGUUGACCUCGGAUCAGGUAGGAAGAACCGCUGAACUUAAGCAUAUCAAUAAGCGGAGGA
rnacentral:misc_RNA from 1 species